ACGGAGGAUGCAAGCGUUAUCCGGAUUCAUUGGGUUUAAAGGGUGCGCAGGCGGAAUGAUAAGUCAGUGGUGAAAUCCUACGGCUCAACUGUAGAACUGCCAUUGAUACUGUCGUCCUUGAGUACACUUGGAGUGGGCGGAAUGUGUCAUUUGGGGUGAAAAUCUUAGGUUUUGCCACGGAAACCGGAUGCGAAGGGCACCUACUUAAAUUUUAUUGGCCGUUCAGCAGGGAAGCGUGGGGAUCAAACAG
rnacentral:rRNA from 1 species